rnacentral:rRNA from 1 species
GGGACACGUGAAACCCCGUGGGAAGCAGGAGGGACCACCCUCCAAGGCUAAAUACUACCCGGUGACCGAUAGCGCAUAGUACCGUGAGGGAAAGGUGAAAAGAACCGCGGGAGCGGAGUGAAAGAGAACCUGAAACCGUAUGCCUACAAGAAGUCAGAGCCCGUUAAGGGGUGAUGGCGUGCCUUUUGUAGAAUGAACCGGCGAGUUGCGACAGACUGCGAGGUUAAGGAGGAAAGACCGGAGCCGAAGCGAAAGCGAGUCUUAAGAGGGCGAAAGUAGGAUGUUGCAGACCCGAAACCGGGUGAUCUAGCCAUGAGCAGGUUGAAGUUG